rnacentral:rRNA from 1 species
CCUACGGGGGGCAGCAGUAGGGAAUUUUCGGCAAUGGGGGGAACCCUGACCGAGCAACGCCGCGUGAACGAAGAAGUUAUUCGUAAUGUAAAGUUCUUUUAACAGGGAAGAAAGAGAAAUUUGACGGUACCUGAAGAAUAAGCUCCGGCUAACUACGUGCCAGCAGCCGCGGUCAUACGUAGGGAGCGAGCGUUAUCCGGAAUUAUUGGGCGUAAAGGGUGCGUAGAUGGCAUAGUAAGUCUUUUGUAAAAAUGCUGGGCUCAAACCAGUAGGGCAAAGAUACUGCAAAGCUAGAGUAUGAGAGAGGCAAGUGGAACUACAUGUGUAGCGGUAAAAUGCGUAGAUAUAUGUAAGAACACCAGUGGCGAAGGCGGCUUGCUGGGUCGAUACUGACAUUGAGGCACGAAAGCGUGGGGAGCAAACAGGAUUAGAUACCCCAGUAGUC